GUGCCUGCUUCAGCAGCACAUCUACCAAAAAACUGGAACAAUACAGAGAAGAUUAACAUGGCCCCUGUGCAAGGAUGACAUGCAAAUUCAUGAAGCAUUCCAUAUUUUA
ensembl:snRNA U6 U6 spliceosomal RNA